UACGAAGGGAGCUAGCGUUGUUCGGAAUCACUGGGCGUAAAGCGCACGUAGGCGGAUUUGUCAGUCAGGGUGAAAUCCCGGGCUCAACCUCGGAACUGCCUUUGAUACAGCAAGUCUUGAGUUCGAGAGAGGUGGGUGGAAUUCCUAGUGUAGAGGUGAAAUUCGUAGAUAUUCGCAAGAACACCAGUGGCGAAGGCGGCUGACUGGUCCGGUUCGUGACGCUGAGGCGCGAAAGCGUGGGAGCAAACAGG
rnacentral:rRNA from 1 species